rnacentral:tRNA from 1 species
CAAAUUAGAGCUUUAAUAAGUAUCUUAUUUACAUUAAGAAGUUAAUUAAAAUUAAUUUAAUUUGA